rnacentral:rRNA from 1 species
UUAAGCGACUAAGCGUACACGGUGGAUGCCCUGGCAGUCAGAGGCGAUGAAGGACGUGCUAAUCUGCGAUAAGCGUCGGUAAGGUGAUAUGAACCGUUAUAACCGGCGAUUUCCGAAUGGGGAAACCCAGUGUGAUUCGUCACACUAUCAUUAACUGAAUCCAUAGGUUAAUGAGGCGAACCGGGGGAACUGAAACAUCUAAGUACCCCGAGGAAAAGAAAUCAACCGAGAUUCCCCCAGUAGCGGCGAGCGAACGGGGAGCAGCCCAGAGCCUGAAUCAGUGUGUGUGUUAGUGGAAGCGUCUGGAAAGGCGUGCGAUACAGGGUGACAGCCCCGUACACAAAAAUGCACAUGCUGUGAGCUCGAUGAGUAGGGCGGGACACGUGGUAUCCUGUCUGAAUAUGGGGGGACCAUCCUCCAAGGCUAAAUACUCCUGACUGACCGAUAGUGAACCAGUACCGUGAGGGAAAGGCGAAAAGAACCCCGGCGAGGGGAGUGAAAAAGAACCUGAAACCGUGUACGUACAAGCAGUGGGAGCACGCUUAGGCGUGUGACUGCGUACCUUUUGUAUAAUGGGUCAGCGACUUAUAUUCUGUAGCAAGGUUAACCGAAUAGGGGAGCCGAAGGGAAACCGAGUCUUAACUGGGCGUUAAGUUGCAGGGUAUAGACCCGAAACCCGGUGAUCUAGCCAUGGGCAGGUUGAAGGUUGGGUAACACUAACUGGAGGACCGAACCGACUAAUGUUGAAAAAUUAGCGGAUGACUUGUGGCUGGGGGUGAAAGGCCAAUCAAACCGGGAGAUAGCUGGUUCUCCCCGAAAGCUAUUUAGGUAGCGCCUCGUGAAUUCAUCUCCGGGGGUAGAGCACUGUUUCGGCAAGGGGGUCAUCCCGACUUACCAACCCGAUGCAAACUGCGAAUACCGGAGAAUGUUAUCACGGGAGACACACGGCGGGUGCUAACGUCCGUCGUGAAGAGGGAAACAACCCAGACCGCCAGCUAAGGUCCCAAAGUCAUGGUUAAGUGGGAAACGAUGUGGGAAGGCCCAGACAGCCAGGAUGUUGGCUUAGAAGCAGCCAUCAUUUAAAGAAAGCGUAAUAGCUCACUGGUCGAGUCGGCCUGCGCGGAAGAUGUAACGGGGCUAAACCAUGCACCGAAGCUGCGGCAGCGACGCUGAUGCGUUGUUGGGUAGGGGAGCGUUCUGUAAGCCUGCGAAGGUGUGCUGUGAGGCAUGCUGGAGGUAUCAGAAGUGCGAAUGCUGACAUAAGUAACGAUAAAGCGGGUGAAAAGCCCGCUCGCCGGAAGACCAAGGGUUCCUGUCCAACGUUAAUCGGGGCAGGGUGAGUCGACCCCUAAGGCGAGGCCGAAAAGCGUAGUCGAUGGGAAACAGGUUAAUAUUCCUGUACUUGGUGUUACUGCGAAGGGGGGACGGAGAAGGCUAUGUUGGCCGGGCGACGGUUGUCCCGGUUUAAGCGUGUAGGCUGGUUUUCCAGGCAAAUCCGGAAAAUCAAGGCUGAGGCGUGAUGACGAGGCACUACGGUGCUGAAGCAACAAAUGCCCUGCUUCCAGGAAAAGCCUCUAAGCAUCAGGUAACAUCAAAUCGUACCCCAAACCGACACAGGUGGUCAGGUAGAGAAUACCAAGGCGCUUGAGAGAACUCGGGUGAAGGAACUAGGCAAAAUGGUGCCGUAACUUCGGGAGAAGGCACGCUGAUAUGUAGGUGAAGCGACUUGCUCGUGGAGCUGAAAUCAGUCGAAGAUACCAGCUGGCUGCAACUGUUUAUUAAAAACACAGCACUGUGCAAACACGAAAGUGGACGUAUACGGUGUGACGCCUGCCCGGUGCCGGAAGGUUAAUUGAUGGGGUCAGCGCAAGCGAAGCUCUUGAUCGAAGCCCCGGUAAACGGCGGCCGUAACUAUAACGGUCCUAAGGUAGCGAAAUUCCUUGUCGGGUAAGUUCCGACCUGCACGAAUGGCGUAAUGAUGGCCAGGCUGUCUCCACCCGAGACUCAGUGAAAUUGAACUCGCUGUGAAGAUGCAGUGUACCCGCGGCAAGACGGAAAGACCCCGUGAACCUUUACUAUAGCUUGACACUGAACAUUGAGCCUUGAUGUGUAGGAUAGGUGGGAGGCUUUGAAGUGUGGACGCCAGUCUGCAUGGAGCCGACCUUGAAAUACCACCCUUUAAUGUUUGAUGUUCUAACGUGGACCCGUGAUCCGGGUUGCGGACAGUGUCUGGUGGGUAGUUUGACUGGGGCGGUCUCCUCCUAAAGAGUAACGGAGGAGCACGAAGGUUGGCUAAUCCUGGUCGGACAUCAGGAGGUUAGUGCAAUGGCAUAAGCCAGCUUGACUGCGAGCGUGACGGCGCGAGCAGGUGCGAAAGCAGGUCAUAGUGAUCCGGUGGUUCUGAAUGGAAGGGCCAUCGCUCAACGGAUAAAAGGUACUCCGGGGAUAACAGGCUGAUACCGCCCAAGAGUUCAUAUCGACGGCGGUGUUUGGCACCUCGAUGUCGGCUCAUCACAUCCUGGGGCUGAAGUAGGUCCCAAGGGUAUGGCUGUUCGCCAUUUAAAGUGGUACGCGAGCUGGGUUUAGAACGUCGUGAGACAGUUCGGUCCCUAUCUGCCGUGGGCGCUGGAGAACUGAGGGGGGCUGCUCCUAGUACGAGAGGACCGGAGUGGACGCAUCACUGGUGUUCGGGUUGUCAUGCCAAUGGCACUGCCCGGUAGCUAAAUGCGGAAGAGAUAAGUGCUGAAAGCAUCUAAGCACGAAACUUGCCCCGAGAUGAGUUCUCCCUGACUCCUUGAGAGUCCUGAAGGAACGUUGAAGACGACGACGUUGAUAGGCCGGGUGUGUAAGCGCAGCGAUGCGUUGAGCUAACCGGUACUAAUGAACCGUGAGGCUUAACCUU